rnacentral:rRNA from 1 species
UACGGGGGGGGCAAGCGUUGUUCGGAAUUACUGGGCGUAAAGGGCGCGUAGGCGGCCUUCUAAGUCAGACGUGAAAUCCCUCGGCUCAACCGAGGAACUGCGUCUGAUACUGGAAGGCUUGAAUCCGGGAGAGGGAUGUGGAAUUCCAGGUGUAGCGGUGAAAUGCGUAGAUAUCUGGAGGAACACCGGUGGCGAAGGCGGCGUCCUGGACCAACACUGACACUGAGGAGCGAAAGCCAGGGGAGCAAACGGG